rnacentral:rRNA from 1 species
UGCUCGAACGGCAGCACAGUAUGUAGCAAUACAUAUGGGUGGCGAGUGGCGGACGGGUGCGUAAUGUGUAGGGAUCUGCCCUGAAGUGGGGGACAACCCGGGGAAACCCGGGCUAAUACCGCAUAAUACUCUACGGAGGAAAUCUGGCACGUAAGUGCUGGGGCUUUAGGAUGAACCUACAUCCGAUUAGCUAGUUGGUGAGGUAACGGCUCACCAGGCGAUGAUCGGUAGCUGGUCUGAGAGGAUGACCAGCCACCUGGGACUGAGACCGGCCCAGACUCCUACGGGAGGCAGCAGUGGGGAAUAUUGGACAAUGGGGGAAACCCUGAUCCAGCAAUGCCGCGUGGGUGAAGAAGGCCUUCGGGUUGUAAAGCCCUUUAGGCGGGGAAGAAGGUUUUAGGGUGAUAAGCCCUAGAACUUGACGGUACCCGCAGAAUAAGCACCGGCUAACUCUGUGCCAGCAGCCGCGGUAAUACAGAGGGUGCGAGCGUUAAUCGGAUUUACUGGGCGUAAAGGGUGCGUAGGUGGUAAAGCAAGUAAGAUGUGAAAGCCCUGGGCUUAACCUGGGAAGUGCAUCUUAAACUGCUUAACUAGAGUAUGGUAGAGGGUAGUGGAAUUUCCGGUGUAGCGGUGAGAUGCGUAGAGAUCGGAAGGAACGCCAGUGGUGAAGACGACUACCUGGACCAAUACUGACACUGAGGCACGAAAGCGUGGGGAUCAAACAGGAUUAGAUACCCUGGUAGUCCACGCCGUAAACGAUGAGGACUGGAUGUCGCAGCUUGGCUGUUUGGUAUCGAAGCUAACGCGAUAAGUUCUCCGCCGGGAAGUAGUCGCAAGAUUAAAACUCAAAUGAAUUGACGGGGGCCCGCACAAGCGGUGGA